rnacentral:rRNA from 1 species
UUUUUAUGGAGAGUUUGAUCCUGGCUCAGAGUGAACGCUGGCGGCGUGCCUAAUACAUGCAAGUCGAACGAUGAAGCUUCUAGCUUGCUAGAAGUGGAUUAGUGGCGCACGGGUGAGUAAGGUAUAGUUAAUCUGCCCUACACAAGAGGACAACAGUUGGAAACGACUGCUAAUACUCUAUACUCCUGCUUAACACAAGUUGAGUAGGGAAAGUUUUUCGGUGUAGGAUGAGACUAUAUAGUAUCAGCUAGUUGGUAAGGUAAUGGCUU